AACCUGGUUGAUCCUGCCAGUAGUCAUAUGCUUGUCUCAAAGACUAAGCCAUGCAUGUCUAAGUAUAAAUGGAAUACAAUGAAACUGCGAAUGGCUCAUUAAAACAGUUAUAGUUUAUUUGGUAAACGAAAUUACAUGGAUAACCGUGGUAAUUCUAGAGCUAAUACAUGCUGUAGUGCCCGACGCAAGAAGGGCCGUAUUUAUUAGAUAUUGACCAAUGACCGUCAGGUAAUGUGGUGAAUCAUAGUAACUAGAUCGGAUCGCAUGGGCUUGUCCCGCGACAGACCAUUCAAGUUUCUGCCCCAUCAGCUUUCGAUGGUAGUGUAUUGGACUACCAUGGCUUUCACGGGUAACGGAGGAUUAGGGUUCGAUUCCGGAGAGGGAGCCUGAGAAGCGGCUACCACAUCUAAGGAAGGCAGCAGGCGCGUAAAUUACCCAAUCCUGACUUAGGGAGGUAGUGACAAGAAAUAACGGGUCGGGGUUUUGCCCCGGGACUGAAAUGAUUUGAAUGUAGAACUCUUAUCGAGGACCAAUUGGAGGGCAAGUCUGGUGCCAGCAGCCGCGGUAAUUCCAGCUCCAAUAGCGUAUAUUAAAGUUGUUGCAGUUAAAAAGCUCGUAGUUGGAUUUCUGGUAAGGGAGAAGAGAGCACCGAGUGACUACUCGAACCCUUGCCAUCCUUCUGUUAACCGUGGGGGACGUCAAAAGCCCGUACGGAGCUCAGAUAUUUUACCUUGAGAAAAUUAGAGUGUUUCAGGCAGGCUAGAGCCGGGAUACAUUAGCAUGGAAUAAUGGAACAGGACUUUUGCCUCUUCUGUUGGUCUGGGGUUGAAGUAAUGAUUAAUAGGGAUAGUUGGGGGCAUUAGUACUUAACUGUCAGAGGUGAAAUUCUCGGAUUUGUUAAAGACUAACUUAUGCGAAAGCAUUUGCCAAGGAUGUUUUCAUUAAUCAAGAACGAAAGUUAGGGGAUCAAAGACGAUCAGAUACCGUCCUAGUCUUAACCAUAAACUAUGCCGACUCGGGAUCGGGGGCGAGAAAAAUCAGCCUUCGGCACCGUAUGAGAAAUCAAGGUCUUUGGGUUCUGGGGGGAGUAUGGUCGCAAGGCUGAAACUUAAAGGAAUUGACGGAAGGGCACCACCAGGCGUGGAGCUUGCGGCUCAAUUUGACUCAACACGGGGAAACUUACCAGGUCCAGACAUAGUGAGGAUUGACAGAUUGAUAGCUCUUUCUUGAUUCUAUGGGUGGUGGUGCAUGGCCGUUCUUAGUUGGUGGAGUGAUUUGUCUGGUUAAUUCCGUUAACGAACGAGACCUUAGCCUACUAAAUAGUCGCUCCUAUCCUGAAUAGGUGAAGACUUCUUAGAGGGACUUUGCAAGCAACUGCAAGGAAGUUUGAGGCAAUAACAGGUCUGUGAUGCCCUUAGAUGUCCUGGGCCGCACGCGUGCUACACUGACGCAUACAGCGAGCAAACCGGCUCCGUGAGGCAGCUUGGUAAACAGCAAUAUGCGUCGUGCUGGGGAUAGAUCUUUGGAAUUUUUGAUCUUGAACGAGGAAUGCCUAGUAAGCGCAAGUCAUCAGCUUGCGUUGAUUACGUCCCUGCCCUUUGUACACACCGCCCGUCGCUCCUACCGAUUUCGAGUGGUUCGGUGAACCCUUCGGACCGAGGAUAGCCUCGUGCUGCCUUGGGAAGUCAGAGUAAACCAUAUCACUUAGAGGAAGGAAAAGUCGUAACAAGGUUUCCGUAGGUGAACCUGCAGAAGGAUCA
rnacentral:rRNA from 1 species